AACCUUAUGAAGGACCUGGUUCAGUACUCCCGUGCAGUUACAGAUCAUCAUCACAGCAGGACGGGUGAUGUCAGUCUCUUUGAAGAUGUCCAAGACCCUGCGUGAAGCUGAAAGGAGGCUGUGUCUGGCAGAAGACACCACACUGAAAUAGAAGAAAUAGACCCUGCCUCUCCCCCACUUCUCCUCAGGUGGGGAGAAAGUUACAGGACAGGCAGCAUCAGCAGAAUGAGCCAUCAACGGAUGCUGAUAGAGCAUUGAUCAAGGCAAUGUAGCCGAGGACAACCCAAGGCUGUGAAGCCAAGCCCACAGAACUCAGGAGCCAUUGCAUCAAAGUGAGUCUUUAAGCCACCUAGAGUAAUUGCUGGGUUCACUCACCAUUCCUCAGUUCCUGAAGUGGCCACCAGGAGGCAGUGCUCCCGGGCAUCUCCCAGGCACUCUUGGACCAUCUGAUCUCUCACAUCUGAUCUCUCAGGUGCUUCUCUGGCACAUGGAAACAACUAUUGGCAAUGCACACAUGGCUGAGUAAGGCUGGUUCCAGAGAACACCAUGGACAGUGGCUGUGUUUGGGGAGGGGGGACGGGGGGGUCUGUGUUUUGAACUCUAGCCUACAACAGAAGUCUAGCUUACAAAUAAGGAAACUGAAACCAGAAGAACUGGGGCCCAUGCUGGAUCUCAUGGAGGCAUUCCCACAACUGAAGCUCCUUUCUCUGUGACAACUCCAGCUUGUGUCAAGUUGACACACAAAACCAGCCAAUACAGUAGGUGACCCCAGAGCAGCUGCAUUGCUGGUAAGUCUCACCCUAGCUUGGACACUGACUUCCCUAUGACUGUAUAGAUGGAGUCUCU
rnacentral:lncRNA from 1 species